rnacentral:rRNA from 1 species
CGACCGGCGCACGGGUGAGUAACGCGUAUCCAACCUGCCCUUUACUAUGGGACAGCCCGUCGAAAGGCGGAUUAAUACCGUAUGUUGUCAUGUUGAUGCAUAUUUUCAUGACCAAAGGCUUCGGCCGGUAAAGGAUGGGGAUGCGUCUGAUUAGCUUGCCGGCGGGGUAACGGCCCACCGGGGCGACGAUCAGUAGGGGUUCUGAGAGGAAGGUCCCCCACAUUGGGACUGAGACACGGCCCAGACUCCUACGGAAGGCAGCAG